GACGAACGCUGGCGGCGUGCUUAACACAUGCAAGGCGAACGGAAAGGCCCUGUGUUGGUGGGGUGCUCGAGUGGCGAACGGGUGAGUAACACGUGAGUAACCUGCCCUUGACUUUGGGAUAACUUCAGGAAACUGGGGCUAAUACCGGAUAGGAGCUCCUGCUGCAUGGUGGGGGUUGGAAAGUUUCGGCGGUUGGGGCUGGACUCGCGGCUUAUCAGCGUGUCGGUGGGGUAGUGGCUUACCAAGGCUUUGACGGGUAGCCGGCCUGAGAGGGUGACCGGCCACAUUGGGACUGAGCUACGGCCCCGACUCCUACCCGCGGCAGCAGUGGGGAAUAUUCCACAAUGGGCGGAAGCCUGAUGCAGCACCGCCGCGUCCGGGAGCACGGCCUUACGGUUGUAGCCCGAUUUCGCCUGUCACGAAGCGUGAGUGACGGUAAUGGCUCCACAAGCACCGGCUCACCACGUG
rnacentral:rRNA from 1 species